rnacentral:lncRNA from 1 species
CCUCUUUCAUGCACAGAGGGGGGAGGGGCAGGAACAGACACUUCAGCAAACAUGGAGGAAGCAACAGCGUCUGCGGAGCGUUUUGAGGAGGAAUUGUGUGCCUUAUGAAAAGAAAAUUGGCAAGUGGUGUACUAUAACUAAAGCGGUGUCCUAUCACAUUGCUAAAGAUAUGGUCCCUGUUGCAACUGUGGAACAAGUCGGAUUCAAAAAGCUACUGAAAACUAUGGACCUUAUGGAGCUUUGAUUUAAAAAAAGGACCUGAGCCCUAGGACCAUGCCUCAGGACUACCUGGCUUGAUGACUCCUUGCUGUCCCCAGUUCACCUGGCCGUCCUGCUGCUCCAGUUCCAACUGUUCUGCCUGCAGCUAUGGAACCCUGACCUGUUCGCCGGACGUGCUACCUGUCCCAGACCUGUUGUCCCAGACCUGCUGGAACCCUGACCUAUUCACCGGACGUGCUACCUAUCCCAGACCUGCUGUUUUCAACUCUCUAGAGACAGCAGGAGCGGUAGAGAUACUCUCAAAGAUCGGCUAUGAAAAAGCCAACUGACACUUACUCCUGUGUUACUGACUUGUUGCACCCUCGACAACUACUAUGAUUAUUAUUAUUUGACAAUGCUGGUCAUUUAUGAACAUUUGAACAUCUAGGCCAUGUGCUGUUAUAAUCUCCACCCGGCACAGCCAGAAGAGGACUGGCCACCCCUCAUAGCCUGGUUCCUCUCUAGGUUUCUUCCUAGGUUUUGGCCUUUCUAGGGAGUUUUUCCUAGCCACCGUGCUUCGACACUUCUACACCUGCAUUACUUGCUGUUUGGGGUUUUAGGCUGGGUUUCUGUACAGCACUUUGUGAUAUCAGCUGAUGUAAGAAGGGCUAUAUAAAUACAUUUGAUUUGAUUUGAUAGGUGGCAUAUUUAAAAUGUCUAAAAUAUUAUGGAAGGGUCCAGUUGUAAAUGGAUAUAAAACAAUGUGGAAUUAAGCCAUAACACUAUUUCCCAAAAAUGAUUCCCAAAAUACUGUUUUAAAUGGUUUCCAGCCAUUGGUUUCCAGCUAUUUCACUUUUUGCCAUUAAUAUAACACAUACUGUAUUAUACAGCAUUGAGUCAUUGUGCAUCUGUUGUUAUCUGAGAUGUGGUUACAUUCAAGAAUGCAAUGAAAUAUUAUGUAACCAGGUCAGACUUGUCAACAACCCUCAUGUUGGAAACCAUUACAUAUAAACCUCAUAAUAAUAAUAAUAGUCUAUCAUUCAGACAUAACAUGUUUCUCUCAUCAUAGCUCAUAGUCAUAGGUGAAUUGAAUCAUAAUUCCCUUCAGUGAUGACACAAUACUGGGUGAAGGGACAGUGCACUGCAUUGAUCCUGUUAACAUGGUGUUUAGAUAAUAUGGUUACGUAGUGGCAGGCUCUCAGUGUCCAUGUAGUGAACAUGGGGCCCACCUUGUGGAGGCCAGCAGAGGUCGUACACAACCAAACAAAACCCAGACAAACAGCUCCAUAUGAAGAGAGAGAGUCAGGCAGAGCCACAGCAGUGUCCUGAGGCAGGCACACAGGGAUUACCUCCAUGGCUGCCACCAAUACAGCCGCGAUCUGCUGUGUCGCUCUGCCUAAUCCCUGCCGACCACGGCACACCCCCAGCACCCACGCUGCGAUCAAAUGACACCAGAGACAGCAGAGAGGCAUGAAAAGCCAACCCCGCUACCCAGACCGCUGCCAACCCUCAUGGAUAGCGUGGGCAAUACCCCCUUCCUCCGCUGUACCCACCAGCUCUCUGCUAGUGGGUGGCUGUAGAACAUAGGGAAAGGAGAGCUUUUCAGUGGAGGGUUUGUUGGUUUUCUCAGGUGCUGAAGAGGGUGGGUUGAGACAGAGCAGGGGACUUGAGCUUUAACUCAAAGGGGUCGCUACCACUUUAAUGAGCGAUGUCAUCAGUUAAAAGUGAGUGCGUUUAUGCAGUGGGAGAAAUACAGUGUUAUAAAUAAUAGGGGAGUUUAUAUGACUGAUUCUCAGAGCAUUAAUCUAGCUUCUGAUAUCUCUGAUGAAAGCUACACAUGAGUCAUUGUUAAUUCCAAUGAAUCAAUUACCGUUUCAUGCACCUAAAAAUAGAAUACUGAUAAAUCAAUGGGGACACUUCAGAGACUGAAAAAGAAAGGGGGGUUGAAGGGGAUGGGGUGCUUGUCUUUCCUGUGGAGGAUUAUACCAUUGCCACUCUUUACUGAUUAUUCUCAAUCAUUCACUGAUACACUUCUCUAGCUACAUUUGACGAGGCUACAACAGACCUUGAACUAAAAUGUUUUCAGCAAAUUCCCCUCUAAACAGAGUCCUACACCUUUCCAGUGAUUUCAGAGCAGACAAAAACACACAUAUUUCUAUUUCAUUGUCAGUAUCCUUGACUUGAAUAUUUCUAUAAUGGCUGUGACCUAUUUCCCAUUCAGGACAACAAUGACAGAAUACUUUUUUGGCAAUUUCACUCUGUGGAAAAGAAAGGGCGUAAUCCAUUUGAAAAGGUGUGCAGCGAUCUCCAGUGCCCAUUGGAUUGGUCACAGCUCAGCAAGCACGAUGCCUUCUGCGCAGACAGUGUCCCCUGGACCUGCCCCUUCUCUCCACUAUUCAAAGUCUUCACACACCAUGGGCAUUGCAUGGCCUCCCUCACGCAAUGCACUAGGUACAAGGGCAGCCAGGUUCGUCUGUGCACAAUCACAACUGACGGCCACAUUCCAUUCCAAUUGCAGUGAUGAAAAUAUCCCCUCUGUGCAUAUUACUGUGGUUAUAUACACUACAUACACACACCCACACACACACACAUAACACACGCGCAUACCGGAACAACACAAACACACAUACAUACACAUAACACACACGUAAACUCACGCACACACUUUUACACAUCAUUUGCUGCUGCUACUCUGUUCUUUAUUUUAUUCUUAUCUAACCUGAUGCCUAGUCACUUUACCCGGCCUUCAUGUACAUAUCUACCUCGUACCUCUGCACAUUGAUCUGGUACUGGUACUCCCUGUAUAUAACUGCACAUUGAUCUGGUACUGGUACUCCCUGUAUAUAGCUCCACAUUGAUCUGGUACUGGUACUCCCUGUAUAUAACUCCACAUUGAUCUGGUACUGAUACACAAUAACGGAGUUAUAUACAGGGAGUAUUUUAUUUUAUUCCUCUUGUGUUACUAUUUUAUUUGUAUUAUUAUUUUUAAAACUGCAUCCUUGAGAAGGGCUCGUAAACAAGAAUUUCAUGGUAAAGUCUACACCAGUUGUAUUCGGCACAUGUGACAAACACAAUUUGAUUUGAUUUGAGACAAAUUGAUCAGAGAUGAAAAGAGAGAUAAAAAAGCAGCAUUGUUCUACUAAUCGGAGCAUUCCACACAGUGUUCACUUUCUUACAAUCACAACAUCUCACCAAACCCGUCGAGUCCAUAGCUCCGCUGCCCUACCUGUCUCUGACAGAGGAGAGUGAAUUCAUUAAGAUAAUAAAUUGCACAUGUCAUAUUUGUCAUCUUUUCAAUCAUCGGUUAAUGAGGUGAAACAUGUGGAAGGGCGUUUCUCUGAGUGAGCUGAGCUGCCUUGGCAAAGGAGCAUGGAAUGACAUCACCCUGACUGAGGGACAUUGAGGAGAUGCAUCUGAAAAGGGGAGGCCUGACAUAAAAUUUGAAUGGCACCAUGAGGUAAAGCUUGUCUUUAUCUGAUGUGAAAUGUGUACAUUUAUAGGCAUGCGUGAUGCCAAAUGUCUAUAUGGAUUGGAUUCAGCAUACUCAUGAAUACAAAUGAUCAGAGAGAGAGAUGGGGAGAGAGAAAGAGAGAGAGAUAGAUGGAGAGAGAGUAAGAGUCAGUCAACUGGGGGGGUCAUAGAGAGAGGCUCAGUUAGCUGAUACCAAUGUAUCUUGAUUAGAAUAUUGUCUGCAAUUUACAAAUGAAAAUGAAUAGAUUUUUCCCUGCCCUGACCUCCAUUAAAAGCACUUCAUUGUUGAUGAGCCAUGAUGCCAUCUGCUAUCGAUUGGAGAGCAUCAGUAUGGCCAAUCCUGCCUCAUCACAAGGAGGUCAUCCAAAGCAAUCUGGGCCUAUUGAGAGAUUGAUCAGGUGAAGGAAGCUGGGAGCUGCCACUUGGGCCUACUCAAGGCCUAAAAGUCUGUAGUGUGUACUGGUGAUGCACCCCAGUCACUGUCCCUCUACGGAGGUUAGGAAAGGGGAGCGUCUCAAAUCUAAAUGCUAAUGUCUUCUUUAAGAGCCUGGAUGCCCUUUAACCACUACAGUGAGGAGUGAGGGAUGGUUCUCUGUGUCUCGACAGCUCUAUCUUGUCUCUACUCCUGACCCACCUCCAGUCUCCCUCCCACACAGGUUACUGGUACAAACCAUUUGUAAUAGGAUUCAAAGCUGCCCACAGACCAGACAUGAAUCACUUCCUGGUUGUUAUUGUAUAAACCAGAAAUCAUCAUCUAUUGAUGAUAUAUUUCCAGGAGAGCUGAUGUAACCAUCCAUAGCUUUUUUCAAGGACUACUGCGAUGCUCUCUAUAAAAUAUCCAAUACCUAUUUGCGUAGAACAUGUCAUGCUGGUUACAAAAUUGCUCGUGUUUUGAUGUGAAUGCUAGCUUAUUCUGUUUGAAAGCUUUUCAGAGAACAUGGAAUCAUUUAGUUUUGAUUUCACUUCACCAAAAUAGGGCUUGUAAAUCUAAUCAAAAUCCAACAAAAUCGGAAUUCUUCCUGAAUUAUUAUACACCAAGGAAAUUGACGUAGUGUAGGCCCCUCUGAAGGAGACAACCAUUAGGAACUCCUCUGGGCAAUAGAGAUAAUAAGCCUUACAUUACAGUACUCAGCCGCUAGCAGCUCUAGACUGUCCACCAUUUUCAACCUUCAGCCGCACAAUUCAUUCACUUGCUCUCUCGCUUUCACUCCAACUCUCUCUCUCUGGUCCAUUCUUCCUCAUACAUUUGCAGUGGGGAGUAUAUUAAAGGCACAUUGUGCUACACUAUU